rnacentral:rRNA from 1 species
AACGAACGCUGGCGGCAGGCUUAACACAUGCAAGUCGAACGCCCCGCAAGGGGAGUGGCAGACGGGUGAGUAACGCGUGGGAAUCUACCCAUCUCUGCGGAAUAGCUCCGGGAAACUGGAAUUAAUACCUUAUACGCCCUUCGGGGGAAAGAUUUAUCGGGGUAUGAUGAGCCCGCGUUGGAUUAGCUAGUUGGUGGGGUAAAGGCCUACCAAGGCGACGAUCCAUAGCUGGUCUGAGAGGAUGAUCAGCCACAUUGGGACUGAGACACGGCCCAAACUCCUACGGGAGGCAGCAGCGGGGAAUAUUGGACAAUGGGCGCAAGCCUGAUCCAGCCAUGCCGCGUGAGUGAUGAAGGCCCUAGGGUUGUAAAGCUCUUUCACCGGUGAAGAUAAUGACGGUAACCGGAGAAGAAGCCCCGGCUAACUUCGUGCCAGCCGCCGCAGUAA